GACAUACUGGAUCUUUCUGGGUAUCAUCAAACUUCUCCAUCCAAGAAUAAGGGACAGCAGCAUCUCUUUGACAUCCAUAGCCCAUUUCUGCUUUGCCAAUAUCACUUGUGCAUCUGGGGCCACCAAUGCAUCCUAUCCUAGCAAGUAUCAAUGGGAAUAAAGAAGAAACUUAGAAAAUGACAAAAUUCAAGAAGAGCUGAAGCUCUGGAGCUAGCUUUGGUGGAGAAAGAAUGAUGGGGGAUGUUGGACUAAGCGAGAAAUGCAUAAGAAGCUGGAAACCAGAAAGCAACGAGACCCACUAACACGGUCUACUCUGGUCAGCCCCUGGGCACAAAGGAGGGUGAAGAAAGGAUGGGAGCAGACAUGGAGGCACCAAUGGAAAGAACAUUCUGCUUUGAAGAUGAUCAUGCUUGAAGCUACAAUCUGUAUCUGACGCAUAUUUCAACUUGUUCUCCAACAUAGCUGCUGAGUUUAACACAAAGCCAUAUAGAGGUCAUUUCUAUAGAGCACAAUAAAUACCAUUAUGUGUUGGACGGAUGGAUGGAUCACUUUUCUCCCCUUGCAAGGACCCUGGUCUGAGCCCAGAUAUCAUCUCUUGGACUCUGCUAGCAGCCAUGGAAAUAGUACCCUGCUUCCACUCCCGCCUCUUCUCAUUCCAUUUUUCAAGUAUAGACACAGCUUAAGGGACAAACAAGAUUCAAAACAUGAGAUUUCCAAAAGUAAAUUUUCA
rnacentral:lncRNA from 1 species